UGCCUGGGUCCCCGAGGCAGCCCCAAGUGAGCCCCAUAUAUUUUCCUUACGUGAUCAGGCCUCUCAUAGUGGGGCUGCUGGUUUGGAGCCUGAGAGGACUAUGAAAAUGGGGCAGUAUUACCAGCUGUUCUUGAA
rnacentral:snoRNA from 1 species